rnacentral:rRNA from 1 species
AUCUCCCGCUUGCGGGGGUGAUUAGUGGCGAACGGGUGAGUAAUACGUGAGUAACCUGCCCUUGACUCUGGGAUAAGCCUGGGAAACCGGGUCUAAUACUGGAUACGACCCCCUGUCGCAUGGUGGGGGGUGGAAAGGGUUUGACUGGUUUUGGAUGGGCUCACGGCCUAUCAGCUUGUUGGUGGGGUAAUGGCUCACCAAGGCGACGACGGGUAGCCGGCCUGAGAGGGUGACCGGCCACACUGGGACUGAGACACGGCCCAGACUCCUACGGGAGGCAGCAGUGGGGAAUAUUGCACAAUGGGCGGAAGCCUGAUGCAGCGACGCCGCGUGAGGGAUGACGGCCUUCGGGUUGUAAACCUCUUUCAGCAGGGAAGAAGCCACAAGUGACGGUACCUGCAGAAGAAGCGCCGGCUAACUACGUGCCAGCAGCCGCGGUAAUACGUAGGGCGCAAGCGUUGUCCGGAAUUAUUGGGCGUAAAGAGCUCGUAGGCGGUUUGUCGCGUCUGCUGUGAAAGCCCGGGGCUCAACCCCGGGUCUGCAGUGGGUACGGGCAGACUAGAGUGCAGUAGGGGAGACUGGAAUUCCUGGUGUAGCGGUGAAAUGCGCAGAUAUCAGGAGGAACACCGAUGGCGAAGGCAGGUCUCUGGGCUGUUACUGACGCUGAGGAGCGAAAGCAUGGGGAGCGAACAGGAUUAGAUACCCUGGUAGUCCAUGCCGUAAACGUUGGGCACUAGGUGUGGGGGACAUUCCACGUUCUCCGCG